rnacentral:rRNA from 1 species
UACGUAGGGGCAAGCGUUGUCCGGAAUGAUUGGGCGUAAAGGGCGCGUAGGCGGCUUUAUAAGUCUGGAGUGAAAGUCCUCUUUUCAAGGGAGGAAUUGCUUUGGAAACUAUAGAGCUUGAGUGCAGGAGAGGUUAUGGGAAUUCCCGGUGUAGCGGUGAAAUGCGUAGAUAUCGGGAGGAACAUCGGUGGCGAAGGCGGGUAACUGGACUGCAACUGACGCUGAGGCGCUAAAGUGUGGGGAGCAAACAGGAUUAGAUACCCUGGUAGUCCCUGA